AUUAGUUUGGGUAUUUCGGGUA
rnacentral:miRNA from 1 species